AAGUCGUAACAAGGUUUCCGUAGGUGAACCUGCGGAAGGAUCAUUAACACGUAUCCAACGUUAAACCCCCCGUGCACACAGAGACCAGCUCCCCUCAAUUUCGGUCUUUUGGCAAUCUCUGGUAAAUCAUCGCCGUGGGUCCUAGACCCCCUGAUCACCCCGACAGUCGCAGACGCGGGUAGGGAUACGUCCUUACCAAAAAAUAAAUACUUGAACAACUGUUAACAAUGGAUAUCUUGGUUCUC
rnacentral:misc_RNA from 1 species